CACGGCGCACGGGUGCGUAACACGUGGGCAAUCUGCCCUUCGAUGGGGAAUAACCCCGGGAAACCGGGGCUAAUUCCGCAUUACAUUCCCCUCGGCAAAGCCGCGUCGAAGGAGGAGCCCGCGCACGAUUAGCUAGUUGGUAGGGUAACGGCCUACCAAGGCUUUGAUCGUUAGCUGGUCUGAGAGGAUGGCCAGCCACACUGGAACUGAGACACGGUCCAGACUCCUACGGGAGGCAGCAGUGGGGAAUCUUGCACAAUGGGCGAAAGCCUGAUGCAGCGACGCCGCGUGGGGGAUGAAGCAUUUCGGUGUGUAAACCCCUUUCGACCGGGAAGAAUGACGGUACCGGUAUAAGAAGCCCCGGCUAACUACGUGCCAGCAGCCGCGGUAAGACGUAGGGGGCCAGCGUUGUUCGGAAUUACUGGGUGUAAAGGGUUCGUAGGCGGUGUAGCAAGUCGGGAGUGAAAUCUCUGGGCUUAACCCAGAGGCUGCUUCCGAAAC
rnacentral:rRNA from 1 species